GACAGAGGGUGCAAACGUUGCUCGGAAUUACUGGGCGUAAAGCGCGUGUAGGUGGAUUGGUGUGUCAGAUGUGAAAUCUCUGGGCUCAACCCAGGAACUGCACCUGAAACUACCAGUCUUGAGUGGUGGAGAGGGAAGUGGAAUUCCUGGUGUAGAGGUGAAAUUCGUAGAUAUCAGGAGGAACACCAGUGGCGAAGGCGGCUUCCUGGACACCAACUGACGCUGAGACGCGAAAGCGUGGGGAGCAAACAGG
rnacentral:rRNA from 1 species